rnacentral:lncRNA from 1 species
GAAGUUAGAACUUCAAAUACAUGGAAAGAUAUUCCAUAGCUGACAAAAUGGAACAGCUAUACAACAGAUUGUUUGAGAUUUGGACUUAAACAAAUCUACAGUCAGAAUCUUCCUCAAACACUACAAGGAGACCAAUUCAUCAAGCCUGGAUGCAACAAUGAUAUGCCACCAAAGACUUCUGCCAGAGAAGAUAAAAAUUUUGCAUCAUCUUGUUGUUAAACACCAUACAUUCAUGGAAGCUUCAGAACUAUGGAUCAUACAUAUAGGCCAAUCUGUUAGUAGCAGGUUACACAUCAUGAAAUAUGGCUCUUACAAGAGUAAGCAAAAACUUAUAUUGACAUCAGUUCAGCAAAAGAAGAGAUUGGCAUGGACCAGAAACCACCUAUCCUGGAUAGAGGCUGACUGAGAGAAGAUGAUAUAGUCUGAUGAGUUUCCCUUCCCAGUCCUAUAUGGAAAUAUUGGAUGGAGAGUCAUCUGCAAACCAAAUGAAAAACUUUUCCAAAGCUGUGC